UUAGUACUCCCUCCGUUUCAAAAUACUUGACCCUCACUUGUCUAGAUACGGAUGUAUCUAUACUUGUUUAGUGUCUAAAUACAUCCAUAUCUAGACAAAUGGGGAUUAACUAAUUUGGAACGGAGGGAGUACCUA
rfam:Triticum aestivum genome assembly, contig: Triticum_aestivum_CS42_TGACv1_scaffold_622191_7DS